rnacentral:tRNA from 1 species
GGAAUAGUUUUCAUUGGUAAGAUAAAACAAUUGCUAAUUGUUCGGGUUAACAGCCCUUAGGUGUUCGAAUCACCUUUAUUCCG